rnacentral:lncRNA from 1 species
GAACUCCUGACUUCAGGUGAUCCACUCGCCUUGGCCUCCCAAAGUGCUGGGAUUACAGGCAUGAGCCACUGCGCCCGGCCUCCCACUUUGAUUUCUGAACCUUUUGGGUAACAUCUCCUUCCCUCACAUUUCUUGUGUGUUGAGGUCUUUUGUUCAGGCUUUCAGUGGAUGAAAGGACAGAGGAGGAAACAGCUGUGGGAAGAGCAGCUGCUGUGCCUCCCUGCCUCUCUGCUUGGCCACAGCUCCCCUCCCUCUCUGGCUGCCCUAGCACUGAACUCUGAUCUUCAGCAGUGAGACCUAGUACCUGCCUCCGCCUCACUGGGAAGCAAAGCCGCAGAGCAGGUGCAGCUGUGUGUGGCAUGGCCAGCCACAAGCCAGAAAAACCAGCAAACCAGGGCCGGGAACAAUACUUCCUGGGACCAGCCCCGGGGACCACUUUGGAAAUGAGCAUGGCAGAGGCAGCCACAGGGAAUUUUAACUAGGAAAUACUGAAGUCAUGAGGAGUUGGCAGAAGCCGCCCAAGCUGCUCAGUCAUAAGCUGCGGAACAACCGGAGAGGCUGUGAGAAGCCACAUGCAAGCCGCAAUUACGAGGGAGGUGCAAAUAGAAGAAGGCUGUGAAGUCAAGAAAAGCCACGUGGUGCAGGGUGAGGAGGCCGGGGGGUGGGAAGAUGAGAACAGGGGACCAGUGACAUUAACGCUGGGAAGAGAGCUGCAGUCCCGACCUUCCCGUGGCCUCACUUCUGUCUCUUCCCUUCCUGAGGUCAGAUUGCUCUGCUUUGCCUGGCUUCCACGUUGGAACCUCCUCAUGCUAAAUCUGUACUUCAGAUGUUGAGUAAGUCUCCAUUCUUCACCAUAAAAAGGACAGAACUCAAAUGCUCUUGCUUUUUUGAUUAAUAGACUCUUAAUUUUCGAGAUGGAGUUUUGCUCGUCUUCCCCAGGCUGGAGUGCAAUGGUGUGAUCUCGGCUCACUGCAACCUCCACCUCCCGGGUUCAAGCAAUUCUCCUGCCUCAGCCUCCCGAGUAGCUGGGAUUACAGGCGCCCACCAUCACGUCCAGCUACUUUUUUGUAUUUUUAGUAGAGAUGGGGUUUCACCAUGUUGGCCAGGCUGGUCUUGAACUCCUGACCUCAGGUGAUCCACCUGCCUCGCUAGGAUUACGGGUGUGUAAUCCCUAAGGUGCUGGGAUUACAGGCGUGAGCCACCACGCCUGGCCAAUAGACUUCAUUUUUUAGAGCGGUUUUAGGUUCACAGCAAAAUUGAGCCCAAAGGACAGAGUUCCUGUAUACCCCUCACUCCCCACUGCUACCCCUGUUAUUAACAUCUCCUGUCAGUGUGGUCUCUUUGUUAUGACUGAUGAGUCAAUGUUGAUACAGUCUUAUUCACUAAAGUCCAUCGUUUAUUUUAUUUAUUUAUUUAUUUUAUUUUUUUGAGACGGAGUCUCGCUCUGUUGCCCAGGCUGGAGUGCAGUGGCG